rnacentral:rRNA from 1 species
UACGUAGGACCCAAGCGUUAUCCGGAAUCACUGGGCGUAAAGAGUUGCGUAGGUGGCAUAGUAAGCAAAUAGUAAAAGCGUAUGGCUCAACCAUACACCUAUUAUUUGAACUACUAAGCUAGAGGACAAGAGAGGUAGAUGGAAUUGCUGGUGUAGGAGUGAAAUCCGUAGAUAUCAGCAGGAACACCGAUGGCGUAAGCAGUCUACUGGCUUGUUCCUGACACUAAGGCACGAAAGCGUGGGGAGCGAACGGG